AAUACCCCUAAUGUGAGUGUGUGUACUGGGUGGGGAGAGGAAGGGCUCCUGCACUGUGCGGCCCCAAGUGCCACGGCCCACCGGGAAAUUUCCUGGUAUCCCGGUGGGCCAGUCCAGCCCUGUCUGUGGGUACAUGUGGCAAGAUAGGAUGGGACCUAAUCCUUCCCUUGUUAAAUAAGGGAUACAGGCUAUGGGUUGACAACUAUUACACAAGCAUAGUUAUUUAAAACUCUAUUUUGCUUUGAGACCCUAGCCUGUGGCACAGUGCGUAAGAAUCG